UACAGAGGGUGCGAGCGUUAAUCGGAAUUACUGGGCGUAAAGCGUGCGUAGACGGUUAUUUAAGUCGGGUGUGAAAGCCCCGGGCUCAACCUGGGAAUUGCAUUCGAGACUGAAUAGCUAGGGUACGGUAGAGGGAAGUGGAAUUUCCGGUGUAGCGGUGAAAUGCGUAGAUAUCGGGAGGAACACCAGUGGCGAAGGCGGCUUCCUGGACCAGAGCUGACACUGAGGCGCGAAAGCGUGGGGAGCGAACAGG
rnacentral:rRNA from 1 species